rnacentral:rRNA from 1 species
GAUGAACGCUAGCGGGAGGCCUAACACAUGCAAGCCGAGCGGUAGAGUUUCUUCGGAAACUUGAGAGCGGCGCACGGGUGCGUAACACGUGUGCAACCUACCUUUAUCUGGGGGAUAGCCUUUCGAAAGGAAGAUUAAUACCCCAUAAUAUAAUGAUUGGCAUCAAUUAUUAUUGAAAACUCCGGUGGAUAGAGAUGGGCACGCGCAAGAUUAGAUAGUUGGUGAGGUAACGGCUCACCAAGUCAAUGAUCUUUAGGGGUCCUGAGAGGGAGAUCCCCCACGCUGGUACUGAGACACGGACCAGACGCCUACGGGAGGCAGAAGUGAGGAAUAUUGGACAAUGGGUGAGAGCCUGAUCCAGCCAUCCCGCGUGAAGGAUGACGGUCCUAUGGAUUGUAAACUUCUUUUGUACAGGGAUAAACCUACCCUCGUGAGGGUAGCUGAAGGUACUGUACGAAUAAGCACCGGCUAACUCCGUG